ensembl:lncRNA
AGAAGAACAUUUUGCUAAAGCAUGACAUUAUUGCAAAUAUUGAAAGUUAAAAAAAGAAGAAAAAGAUAACGUAUUUAGAGUUAGGAGAAAUCUGCAAAAUUAUCUUAAAGACAAGUAUGGUUAUGUUUACAUUUUUGUUUUGGGCUACCAAGAAUCUUUUGCCAAUGGUGCCAAGUAAUGUGAAUGCUAUAUUGCUUAACAAGAGAAUUAAGUUAAUCUUUGCAGAACAGAUCAUACAAUGAAAUACACGAUAGCAUUAAAGACCACAAGGUCACAUCCCGACUGGCGGCGGAUCACAGCUAGAGGUACACAUAUUGCAGAUGGAGAAAUGAUUCAACGGCAACUUUUAAGUCUCACGUCUCAUCCAUUAUCACCCAAGCUUUUUUGCCAUGUUCACCAAAUGCACAGGGAUCACUUGUCAGUAACAUUGAAAAUGCAAAAAGACUUUAUUGAAAAUGUGUGCAUUAUUUGAACCGUAUGAACUGGAGGGGUUGUGAUGUCAGUGUCUCAGCAUGUUUGUAUGGAUUGUGUUCAUAUAAAGAUUGUAAAUGUCAGCCUUCUCCAUGGGAAUCUCAACCUUGUUGUUUUUAUGGUUUGUGAUUGAGAUUGAUUUACCAUGUAUUAUGACAGCUAAGUGGUGACGAAAUAGACUAGAUAAAUCAAACAGCUGGAAAUGUUUCCUAGCGUGGGUUGGAGACUUGACUAAGGCUCUCAGGGUGUGGACUGUGUAUGUGUAGGAUUGGUAUUCAUUAUCAAAAGUCAAUUGAUCAUUUACUUAAGAAGGAAUACUUGUUUUAAAAAGUGAAAUGACGGUGCUAAAAAAAAAAAAACAUCAUUCUACAUGGAUGGGGUUUCGGGCAAAACUCAUUACCAUCAAGUCAGUGAGCCAGAGUGAGGAUCCUGUAAACCUGUAAACACAAAAAGAUACCACUGUCCUUAUAGCAUCUUCUAAAGGAGAAAAUGUGUGUUUCUUAAUGGAAUAUGUAAUGGCCAAUUGAGAAAUGGUGGAGACAUCCUUGAUAGGUAUUAUUUCAUGGUUGUUGCUACCAUUACACUGUUAUUUUGCUGAAAUAUUAUAUUCAUAUCAAAACAACCAGGUGGUGUAUUCAUUCUCCAUUCAGAUGAUGACAUUCAUUAUUCAAACAAGGUGUGAAUGCCUUUGGAAAUGACUGUUGUUGUUGUUUUAAUUGCAGACUUCUAUCCAGAACACUGUUGGUUAGCUGUUGUCAAGAUGUUCUCUUUUUAUCAUUAUGUACUGCUGUCUUAAUUUCUCUGUUCGUUUCUGUUUACUUCACAGAGACUUGAUAUGUAAACCUAUUUUCAGAGUGUUUAUGUAGAAAGUGCCUAAUCAUAUCCCGAUUUAUCACACAAAGCCAAUGUCAUAAAGCAUGCAAUGUAAUUAAGGAGAAAAACAUGGCUUUGGAUAUAGAAAUAUCACCAGAAUCAAUAAUAAUUUCAGACUACUGUAUAUCAAGUAUAUACAACCUACAGUAUAAAUCCAAACCCUUCACCAAAUGCAGUCAGGUGACAGUGUUCACCCAGUAUCACCACGGAACGCAUUCAGUCUUGUCAACAGUCGAAGCGUUUUUAUUUUCUAUUGGAACUGCCUGUUGAAACCAUAAGAAUUAGAUUCCUUAACUUCUGUGGUGUUAUUGCCUUGCAUUCAUCAUUCUGGUAGUGGUAAGAAUGCCAGCUAAUGCACUGCGGCAAUAUGAGAAGGUUUUAUUAUGCUUGCAUGGGUAAAAUAAUUAACUGGGUGUCUGAACUGCACCCAAGCAUGCUUAUUUUUCUAGAAUCGGUAGUCAGAUAGAGUUGUAAAAGACUUACUGUUCUGUAAAUGGAUGAACGUGGGUUUGACGUCACAGAACUCGGAAAGAUUGAGGGCAGGUGAUUGGAGGCCAGAGAAGUACCCUACAAAUACAAACAAUGAUCAGUCUGCAGUAUUUACUGACUACGUUUCCAGGUGUAGCAUCAGGGCAAGUUUUUCUAGAAGCAAGUUUACACUUUUUUUACUUUGAUUUUAUUUUUUCUAGAUAUUGUGCUCCCAACUUCAAAUACCUGGACAGUUGGGACACUUUUGACAGUAUUCCGCAAGUAUUUUACCAGGCGACAACACACAUACACACAAGUGACAGCAUACUGCACAGCACACAUCCAGAUUUGCGGCUCGACACGUCAAGACAUAGUCUCACUUGUACACGGUUGAGCGGAGAGAAAGCUCCGAAUGGGUUAUUUCUCUAGCCUGGUCCGGGAGAACGGCUCGCCUCCCGUCUGUAUUUCACUCAGGGUGCCAAAACGGGGAGGAGGAAGUGGAGCAGGUCACUCUGAUUAGAGACUAAUGUGCAGACAGAGGACCGACUGUAUUGAAGUGGAAUCUGGUCAAGACAGGCAGAAUACAACAGUGAUAAUGGAUACAUGACUUUUAUCAGUUUCCCCUCAAAUAAGUCAGCUGAGCUUAGAAGCAGUGUAAGGGCACUAUGUAAAAAGUAGGGGAUAAAGUUGUUGUAGUAAGUAUCAUUAUAAUUAGGACAGGUCUGUUGCAAUUGACAGUGUAGUCAAUUGUUUCUGCCUUGGCAGAGCUCUUGUCAUUAUUGGACACUAUGGGUUCAAGCCUAAUAUAAAUGCUUCAGUUAUUUUAGUCUAGUAACACUUUGACCUCAUCUGACUUGAUGUUUCUCAUGAAAAGUAGGACUUGCUGUGUGCAUCUAUGAUUGUGUAAUAACAACACACAGCUUCAAAUUGUCUAUAAAGUUAUUCUCAGUUAUACAGCAUUUCAUCUCGGUUAAUAUAUAGAUAUGACAUGUCCCUUGAAUGGGCUCUUCCAGGCCAGUUGAAGAUGACCAGACACAGCGAUAGUCGUUUAAGAAAAAGAUAAAAACCCUGAAGAAAAAUCUGGAUGGUAUGACAGGUCAGCUAUAAACAGCCACUUUCUUUUUCUUUGACUUCAUCACACUCUGCUGAUUGACUCGAGGGAGCGUCAUUCCUCCUCUUCCUUUGUCAAUGCACCCCAAACUACUGAGCAGUAGGUCGCAUGGGGACAACAGAGCAGAAACCAUCUCACAACCUUUUCCACUCGUGGACACAGAGCAAUAAGCAUUCUUUUGUGGAGACCUAAUAGACCUAGGGAGGAUAGAAAAACGAUUGGACACAUGUAGUCGACUUACUCUUAUGCAAAUGCCAGUAUUGCAAGACAAGCAUUCAGUAGUUUAUGGACAGCAAUGAUAUGGCACCCUUUACCGAACUGCACGUUUUCAUCAAUUCCAAAUCAAGGAGAAAAAAAUGGCCCUGCUUUAAUACAAAGUCAUGGGUCCUUGACACUUUGCAUGUGAACUAGUGUUAGAUCUAUUUUCCCCUCCUCUAUGACUGUCUUUCUCUCUGUCUUUCCCUGUUAUGUGAUCUCUUUCUUUCCUUGCCCUAUUAUUUCAUUAUUUUCCUUCCCCCCCCUCCCCCCUCCCCUCCCCCCCCCCGAUGUGUUUUGCUUUCUAUCUUUUUUCUCACCCCUCUUACUUGUUUGUAAGUUUUAUUUUUGUAAUUGUGCAUGUACAAGCGUCACUGACUCGAUGGAUAUGUAAAAAAAAAAAAUAAAAAAAAUAGAUUUCAGCUGCUGAAGCCAUGCAAAACGUUUUGAAAUGCCCUUAAAAUAUGGAAGAUGUUUUCUGAAUGCUUUAUAUUCUUU